rnacentral:rRNA from 1 species
UACGUAGGGUGCGAGCGUUGUCCGGAAUUAUUGGGCGUAAAGGGCUCGUAGGCGGUUUGUCGCGUCGGGAGUGAAAACUCAGGGCUUAACCCUGAGCCUGCUUCCGAUACGGGCAGACUAGAGGUAUGCAGGGGAGAACGGAAUUCCUGGUGUAGCGGUGAAAUGCGCAGAUAUCAGGAGGAACACCGGUGGCGAAGGCGGGUCUCUGGGCAGUAACUGACGCUGAGGAGCGAAAGCGUGGGGGAGCGAACAGG